GUCCGUAUUCAGGAAUCUCAUUCGUAGAUUUAACUCUUGGCCUAUCGAGUGUACCCUUCACAGCCGGAUAACCUGUAAAUUAGUGCAAGCACGCUAAUUUCAAGCAGUAGCAUGUAUAAAUUUCUUAGGACCGAUGAUGCUGUAAACUUCUUGAAGGACUAAAAAAAUACCUUUAAGUAACAUCGUUUCAGCAAUCUACAGGGCGCUUUAUGUCAACCUGAGCAAGAUACAGCAUCUUCUGUCAGCUUCGGCUUCACAUUGACGAAUCGAGUUGCUCAUUUGUAUUUGUUAUUAUUUCGGCAUAUAAUACACAGUCUAUUUAAUCAUCCUGCGCAGCGAGCAAUAAUAUCAUCGGACGUUACGACCUUUCGACGAAUUAUAUUCUAGGUAUUU
rnacentral:lncRNA from 1 species